AGAGUUUGAUCCUGGCUCAGGAUGAACGCUGGCGGCGUGCUUAACACAUGCAAGUCGAACGAAGCACUUCAUAAAGUUUACUUUAAGAAGUGACUUAGUGGCGGACGGGUGAGUAACGCGUGGGUAACCUGCCUUACACAGGGGGAUAACAGUUAGAAAUGACUGCUAAUACCGCAUAAAACAGCAGAGUCGCAUGACUCAACUGUCAAAGAUUUAUCGGUGUAAGAUGGACCCGCGUCUGAUUAGCUGGUUGGUGGGGUAACGGCCUACCAAGGCGACGAUCAGUAGCCGGCCUGAGAGGGUGAACGGCCACAUUGGGACUGAGACACGGCCCAAACUCCUACGGGAGGCAGCAGUGGGGAAUAUUGCACAAUGGGGGAAACCCUGAUGCAGCGACGCCGCGUGAGUGAAGAAGUAUUUCGGUAUGUAAAGCUCUAUCAGCAGGGAAGAAAAUGACGGUACCUGACUAAGAAGCCCCGGCUAACUACGUGCCAGCAGCCGCGGUAAUACGUAGGGGGCAAGCGUUAUCCGGAUUUACUGGGUGUAAAGGGAGCGUAGACGGCGAGGCAAGUCUGAUGUGAAAACCCGGGGCUCAACCCCGGGACUGCAUUGGAAACUGUUGAUCUGGAGUGCCGGAGAGGUAAGCGGAAUUCCUAGUGUAGCGGUGAAAUGCGUAGAUAUUAGGAGGAACACCAGUGGCGAAGGCGGCUUACUGGACGGUAACUGACGUUGAGGCUCGAAAGCGUGGGGAGCAAACAGGAUUAGAUACCCUGGUAGUCCACGCC
rnacentral:rRNA from 1 species